rnacentral:misc_RNA from 1 species
GAUGAAGAACGCAGCGAAAUGCGAUAAGUAAUGUGAAUUGCAGAAUUCAGUGAAUCAUCGAAUCUUUGAACGCACAUUGCGCCCGUCAGUAUUCUGGCGGGCAUGCCUGUUCGAGCGUCAUUACGCCCCUCAAGUCCCCUGUGGACUUGGUGUUGGGGAUCGGCGAGGCUGGUUUUCCAGCACAGCCGUCCCUUAAAUUAAUUGGCGGUCUCGCCGUGGCCCUCCUCUGCGCAGUAGUAAAACACUCGCAACAGGAGCCCGGCGCGGUCCACUGCCGUAAAACCCCCCAACUUUUUAUAGUUGACCUCGAAUUAGGUAGGACUACCCGCUGAACUUAAGCAUAUCAUAAGCGGAGGA